rnacentral:rRNA from 1 species
UACGUAGGGGGCUAGCGUUGUCCGGAUUUAUUGGGCGUAAAGAGCGUGUAGGCGGCCAGGUAGGUCUGGUGUGAAAACUCGAGGCUUAACCUCGAGAUGUCAUCGGAAACCAUCUGGCUAGAGUCCGGAAGAGGAGAGUGGAAUUCCUGGUGUAGCGGUGAAAUGCGCAGAUAUCAGGAAGAACACCCCGUGGCGAAGGCGGUUCUCUGGGACGGUACUGACGCUGAGACGCGAAAGCGUGGGGAGCGAACAGG